UAAUGUCCCUCCCACCCGCAACCCUCCCCUUUCCCCCAUUGAUCGCCAGGGUAGAUUCGGCUGAUCUGGCUGGCUAGGCGGGUGUCCCCUUCCUCCCUCACCGCUCCAUGUGCAUCCCUCCCGAAGCUGCGCGCUCGGUCGAAGAGGACGACCUUCCCCGCUGGAGGAGGACCGGUCUUUGGUCAAGGGUAUACGAGUAGCUGCGCUCCCCUGCUAGAACCUCCAAACAAGCUCUCAAGGUCCAUCCAGCUUCCUUCUAAUGCACCUUGGAGGCAACAUAUGAUGGCCCAAGUUCUUGGGAUCCUGCCAUCCAUGUGGGAAAU
rnacentral:snRNA from 1 species